UACGUAGGGGGCGAGUGUUGUCCGGAUUUACUGGGCGUAAAGGGUGAGUAGGCGGUUGGGUAUAUGUCAGGUGUAAAAGGCUAUGGCUUAACCAUGGUUAGCACUUGAAACUGUACAACUUGAGUGCAGGAGAGGUAAGUGGAAUUCCUAGUGUAGCGGUGAAAUGCGUAGAUAUUAGGAGGAACACCAGUGGCGAAGGCGACUUACUUGACUGUAACUGACGCUGAGUCACGAAAGCGUGGGUAGCAAACAGGAUUAGAUACCCUGGUAGUCCCU
rnacentral:rRNA from 1 species